rnacentral:rRNA from 1 species
AGAUUGAACGCUGGCGGCAGGCCUAACACAUGCAAGUCGAGCGGCAGCACGGGUACUUGUACCUGGUGGCGAGCGGCGGACGGGUGAGUAAUGCCUAGGAAUCUGCCUGAUAGUGGGGGAUAACGUUCGGAAACGGACGCUAAUACCGCAUACGUCCUACGGGAGAAAGUGGGGGAUCUUCGGACCUCACGCUAUCAGAUGAGCCUAGGUCGGAUUAGCUAGUUGGUAGGGUAAAGGCCUACCAAGGCUACGAUCCGUAACUGGUCUGAGAGGAUGAUCAGUCACACUGGAACUGAGACACGGUCCAGACUCCGUACGGGAGCAGCAGUGGGAA